rnacentral:rRNA from 1 species
AGCAGCCGCGGUAAUUCCAGCUCCAAUAGCGUAUAUUAAAGUUGUUGCAGUUAAAAAGCUCGUAGUUGAAUUUCGGGGUUAGUAAGUUGGUCAUGCCAUUGGUAUGCACUGGCUUUACUGAUUCCUCCUUCUUGACGAACCGUGAUGUCAUUAAUUUGGUGUUGCGGGAAAUCAGGACUGUUACUUUGAAAAAAUUAGAGUGUUUAAAGCAGGCUAACGCUUGAAUACAUUAGCAUGGAAUAAUGAAAUAGGACGUUAAUCCUAUUUUGUUGGUUUCUAGGAUCGACGUAAUGAUUAAUAGGGAUAGUUGGGGGCAUUAGUAUUCAAUUGUCAGAGGUGAAAUUCUUGGAUUUAUUGAAGACUAACUACUGCGAAAGCAUUUGCCAAGGAUGUUUUCAUUAAUCAAGAACGAAAGUUAGGGGAUCGAAGACGAUCAGAUACCGUCGUAGUCUUAACCAUAAACUAUGCCGACUAGGGAUCGGAUGCUGUUAAUUCUUUAAUGACUCA